rnacentral:rRNA from 1 species
AACGAACGCUGGCGGCAUGCCUAACACAUGCAAGUCGAACGAGACCUUCGGGUCUAGUGGCGCACGGGUGCGUAACGCGUGGGAACCUGCCCUUAGGUUCGGAAUAACUCCCCGAAAGGGGUGCUAAUACCGGAUAAUGUCUUCGGACCAAAGAUUUAUCGCCUUUGGAUGGGCCCGCGUUGGAUUAGCUAGUUGGUAGGGUAAAAGCCUACCAAGGCGACGAUCCAUAGCUGGUCUGAGAGGAUGAUCGGCCACACUGGGACUGAGACACGGCCCAGACUCGUACGGGAGGCAGCAGUGGGGAAUAUUGGACAAUGGGCGAAAGCCUGAUACAGCAAUGCCGCGUGAGUGAUGAAGGCCUUAGGGUUGUAAAGCUCUUUUACCCGGGAUGAUAAUGACAGUACCGGGAGAAUAAGCUCCGGCUAACUACGUG